AUUGAACGCUGGCGGCAGGCCUAACACAUGCAAGUCGAGCGGAGCGGCGGACGGGUGAGUAAUGUCUGGGAAACUGCCUGAUGGAGGGGGCUAACUACUGGAAACGGUAGCUAAUACCGCAUACUAUCAGAUGAGCCUAGGUCGGAUUAGCUAGUUGGUGGGGUAAAGGCCUACCAAGGCGACGAUCCGUAACUGGUCGGAGAGGAUGAUCAGUCAAACUGGAAAUAAGACACGGUCCAGACUCCGACGGUAGGCAGAAGUGGGGAAUAUUGGACAAUGGGCGAAAGCCUGAUCCAGCCAUGCCGCGUGUGUGAAGAAGGUCGUCGGAUUGUAAAGCACUUUAAGUUGGGAGGCGUUACCAACAGAAUAAGCACCGGCUAACUUCGUGCCAGCAGCCGCGGUAAUAC
rnacentral:rRNA from 1 species